CUCUAAUAUUGCAAAACGUUAAGAAACUUUAAAUUGAAGAAAAAAAUAUCCCAAAAUGAUGAGGUCGUAAUUAUAGAUCUAUUAAAUAAAAGUAACAUAUUAAACUUACCAAUGUGUCCCAUUUUUGCAUUGUAAUCAUUGCUAAGGGAUUGUUCUUGAGACUGUAGCUCAAGAUGGAUUUUCCUGGUUGUAAGGUGACAUCUAGUGGUAAAAUUUAAGAAUGCAUAACCUUGUUCCAUGUUAGAA